UCCCGAAUAGCUCAGGGGCAGAGCGGGUGGCUGUUAACCACUAGGUCGGGGGUUCAAAUCCCUCUUCGGGAG
rnacentral:tRNA from 1 species